GAUGAACGCUAGCGGCAGGCCUAACACAUGCAAGUCGAGGGGUAGAGGCUUUCGGGCUUUGAGACCGGCGCACGGGUGCGUAACGCGUAUGCAAUCUGCCUUGUACUGAGGGAUAGCCCAGAGAAAUUUGGAUUAACACCUCAUAGUAUUUUAGUGUGGCAUCACAUUAUUAUUAAAGGUUACGGUACAAGAUGAGCAUGCGUCCCAUUAGCUAGUUGGUAUGGUAACGGCAUACCAAGGCUACGAUGGGUAGGGGUCCUGAGAGGGAGAUCCCCCACACUGGUACUGAGGCACGGACCAGACUCCUACGGGAGGCAGCAGUGAGGAAUAUUGGUCAAUGGUCGCAAGACUGAACCAGCCAUGCCGCGUGCAGGAUGAAGCAUCUAUGGUGUGUAAACUGCUUUUGUACGGGAAGAAACACCGCUACGUGUAGCGGCUUGACGGUACCGUAAGAAUAAGGAUCGGCUAACUCCGUGCCAGCAGCCGCCGUAACAC
rnacentral:rRNA from 1 species